UGUUUCUGUGUUUUCGAGUCUUGGUUUCAUUGAAUUCGUGGAACGGAAUGCCGCUUCGUUUUUGUUUGAGUGGUCGGUGGAGUGUGUGGAUUCGAGGAUGUGCAUUUUGGUGAUCUGAUUUUGAAGAUUUUGGGAAUUUGAAACGAGGGAUUCUGUUUUGUUUUAUAAAGAUGCAGUCUUUCGUCGACAUUUUAUGUGCAAUCGUAAUUUUUUGACGCUGGAGUGACUGAAACCCAUUGGUGUGUGCAUUGGGGUGGGAGUCAUGGUCCAAGUCAAGAAGGAAGCAUGUACACCAGAGUCAACAAAAGAAGUCCGAUUGGCUUCAUCUUCAUUUUCUGAGAGCAGUUGUGAUACCAUUACUCCAAUAUCUUCCUCUGAUUCUGGAUUCAGUGUUUACAGACGUUCUGGUCCGGCCAGACGUUCCUCCCAAGCAGGCUGGACAAAUGAAGAGGAUAAGCUGCUCACUGAAGUAGUGCAAAGGUUCAAUGGUAGGAACUGGAAAAAAAUAGCCGAAUGCAUGUCCGGAAGGACAGACGUUCAGUGCUUGCAUCGUUGGCAAAAGGUCCUUAAUCCAGCCCUGGUCAAAAGCCCUUGGACGAAGGAGGAGGAUGAUUGUAUUAUCGAGUUAGUUGGGAAGUAUGGCAGUAAGAAAUGGUCCACUAUUGCAAAGUAUUUACCUGGUCGCAUCGGAAAACAGUGCCGGGAAAGGUGGCAUAAUCAUCUUGAUCCAGCAAUAAAAAAAGAUGCAUGGACUGAAGAGGAGGAAGCAAUUCUAGCUCACUACCAUCAAGUGCUUGGUAAUAAAUGGGCAGAAAUUGCAAGGUUUCUACCUGGAAGGACUGACAAUGCUAUAAAAAAUCACUGGAAUUGCUCAGUAAAGAAGAGGCCUGAUUUAAACUUGCCUCGUUUCUCUGCCCUGAAAGUGCAAGGAAGUACAUCUCCAGAUACGUGCAAUGAUGAAGAAAAACAGGGCACCAGCUGUAGAAUCACCGAUACUCUUGGUGAAACCAGGAACUUUGGGCAGAAACCGGCUCCAGAGAAAACUGAUGGUGCCUGUUCAACAAACUUGGUCCUUGGAAAUGCUAAUUUCCCGGGUGAUGGUUCAGAGACAAAACCUGCUUCCCUUAAAAUAUGCAGGUCUCCUGAAGGAGAGAGAAAUCUUAUAGAACCCCUGGAUGGGGAUCAGUUCGGUCAAUUUUCUAGCAUUACAAGUGAUAGUUCUGGGGAACUACUCACUGCCAAUGCCGAUAAAACAAGUUCAGUGAACCCUCUGUCAACUGACUCAUUGAAUUAUACCAUGGAUGCACACUAUCAUACUAGGAAAGACCAUGCCGAUCCUGAUGUUCGUCCAAUUAUAUGUGCAAGAAUGUUUGACUCUCCUAAAAGGCCUAGGUAUAGUCCAUGUGUCACAGACGACAGAUCUGAUUGUUCUCCUGUUGAUACCUUUUUAAGUUUGUCAUUAUGUGGAUCUAGUGAUGAGAGUCAAAAGGCUGAAAAAAGAAGCAGAGUCUGCAAAACCCCUCCUUUGGUGGAUCAGAAAGGUUGUGGCUUCUUGUGUUAUGAGCCACCGCAGUUGACUGAUUUAGAUGCUCCGAAUUCUAGCCGGAGUACCGGCAUAGGCAAAGACAUUGAGCGUACUGGCCUCGAGCUUUUUCAUUCAUAUCCAGGUAACCUGUCUCUGAGCCUCUCUAGUAAUGAUGGUAGUCCAGAAUCUUUGCUGAAGAAUUCAGCUAUGAGUUACAGAAAUACUCCUUCAAUCAUAAGAAGAAAAACUAUUACAGAACCGGCAAGUGGAAGUUACUCUGGUAGUCUCAGCAAUUCGAUGUGUUUUAUCUCAUGUGCUUCUACUAAUAAAGGGGCUAAUGGCUCAAACUUGGUAAGCGAAAAAGGUUGCUUGCAUUGUAAAGAUUCCACAUCUGGGACAUCAGUUAGUGGACAAGCUUUGGAGAGACGCCUGGAAUAUGCAUUUGAUUUGGAAUGGGAUUCAACCACUGCUAGACGUUGUACUCCUGGGUCUACAACUCCGUCAUCAGAGCUUAAAUUUGAUGCCAAAUUGAUGUUGACUCCAUGAUUUGAUUCAGAACUGACCGUUCCCAGCUCUGUGCUUGGUUCCUGUCAUUUUUGUUAGGUUCAAUACAUACUAUCAUUAUACAGCAGAAAGACCAGCUGAUGUAUGUGCAAUAAAUAAAGGGCUGCGACCUCCAAAUUAAUACAAAAGGUGAGAGAAUAAUGAAGGUCUGGAUACAUCUGCGAACAACUGGUAUUCUAGUGGCGCAGGAACAGAAUCAUACAACAUGUCUUGCCUUUAGUCAUACUUGUUGACCCCUCCAUCGCUGGUCUUUUAUAUGAAAGGAAACGUUGAGCAUAAAAAGCUCCCAACUUUCAAGUGUCAAAUGCUAGUUGUUCUCUAAUAAUUCCUGGAUAUUAAGGUUCCAGGAGGUGCUUUAAUCACUAUUUGCCUUCUUGUGAAUAGAGAAUAAUAAGAACAUCUCCAGUCAUUAUGACAAAGUAUGUGGGAAUUUGGAUUUAUUUGAAGGAUACCACAUAUUUGUUGCUCUAUAAUAGGUUAUAUGCCUGUUAGUGAACAUUCGGCAGGACCAGAAAAACUAGCUGAUAAGCACGAAGUCAAAACCAGAGGCAAGCAAAACAUUCUUGGAUUGCAAAUUGUGGUUCAGGGUGUCGCAAGAAAUGAAGCAUCCUAAUUUUCUGACAUCUUGUGUUUAUCUUGGUAAUAUGUUCUAACAGUCCUAUAUUUGGCCAAUUUGGAGUUGUACUCCUGAUGUUGAGUUACAUUUGCAUCUCUGUAAGUGAUUCAGGGCAAUAUAGUUUCAUUUCAUAAUGAACGAGACGUUUUUCUAUGAAGCGUGCAAUGCUGAACAUGAUGUUUUUCU